rnacentral:lncRNA from 1 species
AGCUAUUUUCAUGCGACGGGUGAGGCUAAGAAAAAGGGGAUAAGAUCAGAAUUAAUUUUGAAUUGUGGGAGGUUAUUAUCCCAUAAAUAGAGAUGACAGCAGCUGAAAAAGGGGGAGAGAAGAAACAGAGGAAAAUAUUCAGCAGCAUAGGAAAGGGGUGGUUCAAGUGAGCAGAAUUUUCUAAAAUUGGCCCAGCAAAUCCGAUCAAGGAGCUAGAGUAGCAGCUAGUAAAUUUGGCUAGUUGGGAGAAGGGAAAUCGGACGACUCGAAGAACUUUGCCUCCCAAGAAUUAGCUUGUAAUUCAUGUUCUUUUCAAUGGAUUCGUGUUCUACUUUGCUAGCUAUGAGAGGCUAGUUUAGUUAAGCUUAGUUCGACACUUCUGAAACCAGGCACAAGUACUUUGAAAAUUUUAUUUUGUUAUCAAAACAAAUUCGACACUCUUGAGUUGUGUGAUUUUAUUUUCAAAGGAAUUUUUCUAACUCAAUUGGAGUGAUCACCUAAUUAAUUUGGGAAUUUUUCUUAUAAUCAUUUAAGUGUAAGUUGAGAAAUCGAAUUUCUCAAUUGAACUCAGAAUUAGUGAUAAAUAAUUGGCCGCAGCUAAUUAAGACAACUUCGGAUUUAAUCUUAGAAGCCGCUGGUGGAUUUUCUUUGGUUAAGGCAAGGCGAAGUCUCUAAAUCUCUAAAAUUCCUUCAACAAAGUCGACACAAAGGUAAUUAAAGGAAGGUUUCAAUCAUGAACGUUCUCUAAUUGAAUAAUUUACUAUGGAUAGGAAAAUGCUUCGUAAGCGAUUUUUUCAGCCUUGCUGCUAAUUUGAUUUCUUAGCUUAAUUUCAGGUUGCAAAGGACUUGUGCUUGGUGGAUGAAGGAGUCGCCAACUAAGCAUUAUUUUUUUUCCUUUCGAAAUUUUCUCUUCAGCUGUUUUAAUUCGAGCCAAAGUUUAUUUAUUACUUGAGACUAUUUUUUUAGCAAUCAUAAAACAUAAACCCCCCCAUUUUUCCUUUGUUUUCUUUUCUUUCGCAUGCCUUUUAUAUUACUUUAAUUUUAAAUCACUUCAAAUAGAUUUGUUGCAAGCUUCCUCGUGGGACGAUUCCCUAUUUACCCUAUAUUACUAGUGAAUGUUGGUUGAGUAAGUGAAUUUAAUUUGGCAGACGUAAACGACAGCUACCAA